CUACAUGGUCUACAAACUGCAAAAUCUUCAUUAAAGUGAUGGUUCGGAGUAAUUUCACCCUAGGGUCCUUUGCACCAUGACCUCGAGCCAAACAACCCCCCAGAAGCUUUUUUCACCUGGGUCGAACAUUGGGAGAGUUAGUGUAAUCAGCUGAAUAGCUUAGCGCAGGGGCUAAUGGAUCCAGGUUUGUAUCUCGUAAGUUACCCCACUAAUAAUGCCCAAAAUGAUACCAAACUUCUACACUAGUACAACUAGGUUAUGUACUCAUAAAACGAUGGAUUGGAAAGUUUGUAAGUACACCAGAAGUUUAUUUAAAGGAAUACGCCACCAUUUGUUGAAAAAGGGUUAUUCACCAUCUCCUCUAUAUUUAUAUAGGUGGGUAAAUGCAUUUUUGUCUCAGUGCAUGCAUUGUCUUAGUCCGGCAGCCCCGCCGCUAGCUUAGCUUAGCAUAGUGAAUGGAAUCCAAUGUUGCCGUUAGCAUGUUGUGAGUAAAAGUGACCCAACAACAACAAAAACAAAACCUAAUUA